rnacentral:rRNA from 1 species
UAUAGAAAAAAUAAAAAUAAAGUGAACUGAAACAUCUAAGUAACUUUAAAAAAAAAUCAAACGAGAUGCCGUUUGUAGUGGCGAACGACUGCGGUAUUUGGGAAUUCUUCAAACUAUUAUUCGAAACAACCAAAGAAGGUUAUAGUCCUGUAAAAAAAAAAC